rnacentral:rRNA from 1 species
GACAGAGGGUGCAAACGUUGUUCGGAAUUACUGGGCGUAAAGCGCGUGUAGGCGGCCCUGCAAGUCGGGUGUGAAAUCCCACGGCUCAACCGUGGAAGUGCACUCGAAACUGCAGGGCUAGAGUCCUGGAGAGGAAGGCGGAAUUCUCGGUGUAGAGGUGAAAUUCGUAGAUAUCGAGAGGAACACCGGUGGCGAAGGCGGCCUUCUGGACAGUGACUGACGCUGAGACGUGAAAGCGUGGGGAGCAAACAGG